rnacentral:lncRNA from 10 species
AGGCCGCUCACCUUAAGGACGCAGAGUGGCGUCAGAUUUGGAGAAGCGCCGGGGACCGUGGAGGAAGUCAUCGGCCUGGAUUUCUUUGGAUUUGCAGAUAGGGUUCCAGCAGAACUGGAAGGUGAAUUGCUGUGUUGUGGACAUUCCUCAAGAUCAAAUGUACAUAAAACCUGUCUGUAUCUACGUCUCUCCUUAGGGUGUCCAUUUGUGUGCAUUAUUUGCUUUCUGUUUUGUUCUUUGAACCCAUUGUAACACAAUAGACUUAAAAUUAUUUACUAAAUUUGCUUUGAUUAAGGUAUUGCUGUUUAUAUUUGGGUCAUGAAAGAGUAACGUGUAAUUAGUUGCAACAGUUACAAGGGCAAGUUAGCGUCCUUACCUUUUUGCUGAGAUGUCUGAAAUAUUUACAGUUUCUUGUGAAAUCAAGCUGUGCCUGCACACUGUCCUGACACUGCAGUCACAAGUCACCAGAUAAUUUUAUACUGCCAGAGCCUCAUUCUCAGUCUUUGAUCCCUCUUUAUUUGCUGCUGUUGAUCACAGUAUCCUUCUUGAGACUCUUUUCUCACUUAUUUCUCUCAUCAUCUCUCUAAAAAUUAUCUCCCUGACCUCUGCUUGGGCUUUUCUUUCUCUCCCCAUCUUCUAGUGGGAUGGUAUGCCUCUUUGUGUAGAAUGCUUUGAGACAGAAAGCCUGAUUUAGUUCCACUAUGUGGGCACCUUCCAAAUAAUAAAACAACUGGAGGAGUGAAUGCUUACUCAGGACAAAUCUGCCUCAGUUUAUUCAUGGGGAAAAUGAGGAGUUCAAAUUGUAUUCCCCAGACAUUCAAACUGGGAUACUCAGAGCUCUAAGCUUUCACACCAGUACUUCAGGGACCACUGCAGAAGGUGAGGGAAAAAGCAUCCAUGUGGUAUGAUUCUAGACCCUCCCUCUAGGGACGUUUAAACUGACAUUGCUUUUACCUGUUUGUUUUAUUAUUCAACACGAGGUACCAUGUGAAACAAAAAAAGAAGUCAGCAAAAAAGAAUAAAACCUUUAUUAAAUGAAAUGGGUUAUAAAUCAGUGUUUCUUUUUUCUUUCAGUUUUAGAGAUGAGGGUCUCGCUAUGUUGCCCAGGCUGGUCUUGAACUCCUGGGCUCAAGUGAUCCUCCCAACUCGGCCUCCCAAAGUGCUGGGAUUACAGACAUGAGCCACCACACCCGGCCAAAUCAGUGUUUCUUAACCUUUUUUCAAAAUCG